rnacentral:rRNA from 1 species
AAUUGCAGAAUCCCGUGAACCAUCGAGUCUUUGAACGCAAGUUGCGCCCGAAGCCAUUAGGCCGAGGGCACGUCUGCCUGGGCGUCUCGCAACGCGUCGCCCCCCCUCCCGCCUAGCCUAGCGCUGCGGGCUCAUGGGGGCGGAUGGUGGCCUCCCGUGYGCGGGCAACGCGCGCGCGCGGCUGGUCGAAAAACGAGUCCCCGACGACGGACGUCACGACAGGUGGUGGUUGAGAGACCCUCGGUCGCGUCGCGUCGUGCGCGCCACCGUCGUCGAAGGCGGGMUCAAGUGACCCCUGCGCACCGGCAYCCCGUGCCGUGUGCCUCGACCGCGACCCCAGGUCAGGCGGGACCACCCGCUGAGUUUA